UAUUUGAAUAUAUGUGCAUUUUAACCAUACUCUUCAUUUUAGGUGAGCAUUUUGUGGCGUAAAAUGUCCACAAAUAUCUAUGCAGUUUGGUGAGCAGACACUGAAGACUGUACAGGAGCGGUUGAAAUGAACUUGGAAAUGGUGCCAUCCUUUGGAAAUCUUUGGGAACUGAUGUGUGCAAGUGCGCAACUGCACUGGCCUCACUGACGCAUGCACAUGCUGCUGGUGGCAUUAUCUGUUACAUGGAAAAGACGACAGGCUUUCGUGCUGCAGGGAAUGGCAUGCUGACAAUGUGUGCCAUUUCAUGACAGGCCUCUCCGGUUUGCUUCUCAUAGUUCUCACGAAUGCACCGCGUGAAAUGCAAAGGUUAUGGUGUACUUCUAAAAAUGUGAUACACCGGGCCUCAGCUGCCGAACCGAGUCGUGGAGCUGAGGGGCGGUCUGUGUUUUGCUCAAGGACACGUCAGCAGGGCGGAUGCUGGCUGACACUGAGGUCUUGAACCCUGAUCUUUGCGGCUGACGGGCGAUGGGGGCCAUGCCGGCUCUCUUGUCCAUGCUGAUGUGUCAUAUCGGGCCCAGAAAAACACAGAUUUUGCUGGGGAAAGUUCUUGAACGGCACAGUAGAAGAAGUGGGACCACGAGGGCCCUGUCAUUGCUCUCCGGUGACAAGUGGGCCUGUUUUUACACCUUCCUUCUAAAUAAGGAAGCGGCCUGACAGACAUAUGACCACCGACCCAAUUUGGGAGCAGCCCGAGUGCCCCAUCGCGUCCCACGGCCGCUGAACGCCACCAAUAAGCUUCCUCCCCUUCCAGUCCAACAGUGACAGUAGGCUAUUCCUCUCAACUCGCAGCAGAGUUGGUAUUUUUCCUGCUGUCAGCAGCCUCUCUACCCUUGUAUUGUCCCAGCGGUGAAGUCAGCAUGAUGUCAUCUUGGGAUGCGAUAGCCCUGGCAAGGUUGAAACAGGGUUUUUGGUGAGUGGUGGAGGAUUUAUUCUGAACUCUUAACGAGAGUGAGACAGAGAGUUGCAAGAGAGAGAGAAAGGGAGAGUGUGUGUGUGAGAGAGAGAGGCGCGGAGGAGCUGCAAAACAUGGUAAUCACCACCACCAACAUCACCAUCACCAUCACCUCCAGCUCUGCCGCGCACUCUCCCGUCUCCUCUCCUCCUCUGCACCGGGGCUUGCGUUUCAUGCCCAAAGCCCUGAUCUGCGCUCCAAAAAUAACCCUCAGCCAGCAUGCCGAAGGAAGCAAAACAAGAAGAGCGGUAUUUUUAGGGUCAUUAAUUUUGACCACGUGGCCCGAAGGUAAACCGGAUGGCCGUUGCGCAAAGGCUCCUCGUCAGUAUGUCCUGCGAGGCCGGCACGCCGCACUGGACGCUGACCGCGGUGGUUCUCCUGGGCUUUCUGCUGGGGAUCGUGUCAGCGUACCCUUUACCGAGCAGCAGGACAAAUGCAACUUUACUGGAGAAAAGAUGGGAGACCCUCUUCUCCCGCUCUGUACUGGGGAUCUCCGGGGAGAAACCGGAGCUGAACUGGGAGAGUGACUAUCUGCUGGGCAUCAAGAGAGUGCGGAGGCUCUACUGCAACGUGGGCAUCGGGUUUCACCUUCAGAUCCUCCCCGACGGCAGGAUAAACGGUGUACAUAAUGAAAACCAGUACAGUCUAAUAGAGAUCUCUACGGUGCAGAGAGGAGUGGUGAGCCUCUAUGGGGUGAAGAGUGAGCUGUUUGUCGCAAUGAACAGCCGUGGAAGGUUAUACGGAACGACAGUCUUCCACGAUGAGUGCAAGUUCAAGGAGAGCUUGCUCCCAAACAACUACAACGCCUAUGAGUCCCUGGUUUACAGAGGCUCCUACAUAGCACUGAGCAAGCAUGGCCGCGUGAAGAGGGGCAACAAGGCCACCACUGCCAUGACUGUAACACACUUCCUACCCCGAAUAUGAUGAGCAAAAACUGGCAAUAACAAACUUAUUUGCACAUGUGGAUUAUUUCCCAGACAGUUUUCCAUUGUGGAGACAAGGAGGAGGGGGGAGGACAGAGAGCAAGCAAAGCUGAAGGUAGCAAUGAUGUACAGAGGACUUACAUGGGACUCUGCAUGUGGCACUGGUUUGUUUGUUUGACUUGGCGGGGAUGUGGACAAUGUGGGGUAGAAUAGCUGAGCAUCAGACAAGUGGGCCCCUCGUCUGUUCAUGUCAGACUGGACAGUCAGUGCAGGGCCCUGGGAUUCCUGUCCCUCUCAUCUGAGCCAUUUUUGUACCAAGGUCAAAGAUGCAGGCUUUGUGUGCUUUGAGUUAAUGAUGCCAGCAUGUGUUCUGGUCCAUCUGAAAGACUUUUACCUUGUUGUUGUACGUAGCUCUGCACCUGUUAGGUUCUCUAGUAAUGUGCAAUGAAGAUAUUAAGAUUCUGCACGUUUUCUCACACUUCUGAGCAGAGUCUAUUUAAUGCUGAAAUGAGGUUUGACUGAGCUCGAUUCAUAACGUUUUUGUUUUCAUUUACUACAUUUUGGUACUUGACCUGCAAUAUUCUGUAAGUAGCAAACCACCAGGCAGGCCAGUUUGGUGAAAUAUAAUUAAAAGAAAGUAGCAAGGCCCUUAUAUGUUGUCAAAUUUUACCUCAUGCCCUUCCUGACAUUACUAUGACGCACUGACAACAUGUCUGUGAGCAAUGGUUUACGUACCCUUUAAGCUCCAGCCUAUGUCUAGUAGCAGAGACAAAUGUGUAGUAUCUUGUCAGAACGAGUGUGUAUGCAAGUGUGUUUGUGUGUGCGUGUACAUGUGGCCAACUGAGCACGCUCCUGUCAUGUUCUGUUUCUGCCAAAGCGACAGUAAAGAUGGUAUCAGAUCAAUUUACCUUGAGUCAGGAAUAACAGGGCAUUGUCUGACUGUGCAAGCUGAGGUACUGUGUUGUCCUCGCAGUCGAGAGGAUAAGGACGAGAGGGAUGGAAAAAGGCAACACAGAAGCUACUGAGGGAUGUCUGUCAAAGGAAAGCGCUGACUGUGGUUUAACUGGGAGUUACGUAGCAAAAGGUCACUUUAAAAGAAUCUAAUGCUUCCAUUAAAGUGACACUAGAGUUAACAGGUUGUCUGGUGGACUGAAUACUGUGAUCCAAGAGAGCAACUUGACACUCACAGGAUGUCAUGUGUAAUGUUUUUGAAUAUUGAUACCAUG